rnacentral:lncRNA from 1 species
CACAACAAUAUACAUACACUCACAGGAUUCCAUCAUCUUUCAUUUUUUGAUGACAAUAUACACACACACGUAAGAUGUACAGAGCUUCCUCACCAUUUCGUCUCUCAAUACAUACAAACACCUCAUACACGCACAUACCCCUCAAUUCACCAAUACACAGUUCCCACAGCCCACAUUACACAGAUUACACUCGCAGUAAUUCUCACACACACACACUGAAAAUUGGAGGGAGAUUGAGAGUGAAGAGAGAGAUUGAGAAAGACAGUGAUUGGAAAUCUGAGAGGAGAGAGGAAACAGACGUCGAAUGACACUAUUUCGGCGAGAACCCGCCAAAAAAGGUUGAAAACUCGGCUGAUUCACCAAUUCCCAUCGCUACUAGAGCUCACUGAAGCUCCGGCAAAAUAAUAACAACAAAACAUCCCUCUCCCGUCCCCGUCUUCGGUAAAUUCAUCGGAGAACAAAUUCCAAAUCUACCUGACCAGUCCCAGAUUCGGCGGAAAUUGUCAAAAAAUGAACGAAGCAGUAGUGGGGUGUGCAAAUUCGAGUACGGGUCUUUUGUUAUUUUCUUGAUUUUGAUCUAGGUUGGCGAAAAACAGAGAAAAAGGGUAUAUCGUGGUCGGGUUUAUUAGUGGAGGUUUGAAUUGAGGUUUUUCGGGCGCGCUUCUAUCUUCGAUAUAUCAAAAUCGACAAUUGAGGUCCAAUUCUUCUCUUUUCCUCUUUUUAUUUCAUUGUUUAUUAUAUUUGGUGUGUUGGAUUAAAUAUCAUGUGUUGUUUGAUCCUUGUUGGUGAUGAAUAGUGUCUUGGUAUCGAUUGAUUGUUGAUUUCGUUGAUUAUGUAUGAUGCGAUGAAACGAUAUAAUCACUUGAGAUUUGAAAUCUGUAAUUUGAGUAUAGAAUUGGGGGUGGGAAUUAAAAGAUUAAUAAGGUGCAUGUUGAUUAUUUUUAUUCAUUGAUGGAUAUGGUUGAAAUCGAUAGUAUCAUAUUUUAGAUCGUUUAAUGGGUAGACAAAUACUAAGUUUGGGUAGGCAAAUUAUAGAAAUAGAAGAUGAUGAUUUGUUGAAUGUGUGGAUGUCUUGUUGAAUGGUUCUUUCUAUUUUCAACGCACAAAAUUGAAAAAAUGUAUUCAUUUGACCGGAGAAUGCACCGAGGUCUUAUGUACUUAUUCAUUGGGGAAUACCUCAAAGCAUCUUGUACUCGAAGAGCAUUCGUGAUGAAGGUCCGAGGCAUUGGGUAAAGCAUAGAAAUGUAGUUUAGGAUUAGUAAGUAGGUUUACAUUUCCAUAUUUUUCUAUUUUUGGAACUGUAAUAAUUGGGAUGAAAACUAUAUACUUGUUUUGUUUUGUUUAUUUGAUUGAUUGUUUUGUGUGUUUUAUGUAAUUUAUACAUUCAUAGUGUCAAAUUAGCCGAUAUGCUCCACCAAACGAAUAUGGUCGAACCACGGGAUCGAGGGGUGCCUAACACCUUUCCCUCGGUCAACAGAAUUCCUUAAUCGAAAUCUCUAUUCGUGGAUCAGUUUUAAAGAGUCAAAAUCAUUUUCAAAAAGGAUAUCCAAGGGUGACUUGGCACAGCCGAUUUAUGCCAAGUGCCGACUCUGAGUUUUGAAUAUAAAAAGUUAUUUUCGAAACAAAUCUUCAUUUUGUCACUUAAUAAUAAAACCCUUUUUCAAACCUUAAAUUAAUUCUUUUUUGUUAAUAAAAGGGUGUGACUGCUCUGGCGACUCUGCUGGGGACAUUUUCAGUAGUCGAGCUUAUUUUUGAUAUUGUAUCGGCUUAGUUUAACAUUAUGAUUGUAUAGACGUUGUUUGCGAUAUUGUUUGUACACCCUCCAUCCCAAAUUAUAUGUCGCCAUUUUCUUUUCGGUCCGUCCCAAAAAGAAUGUCGCCUUUCCUUAUUAGGUAAGUUCUUAAAGACACAAUUACAAUUUUACCCUUAGUGGUCCUACUUGAUUUUAAAUACUAUUACUCAUUUUUUAUUUGUUUUUUCAAUUAAAAGUGGCCCAGCUUGAUUUUAAAUACUAUUACUAUAAUUUUGUAACUUUAACAAAGUCAACACUUAUUUCUUAAAUAUUGUGUCCGGUCAAAUAACGACAUAUAACUUGAGAUGGAGGGAGUAUUUAUUUUAUCAUUGUUAAUUGCCUACUUGCUACGUUUUUAUAGUUUUUACUCUUAUGUGUUACCGCUUUAUAUCUGACAUCAUUUGUAUAACCCGAGUCAAUUUUUUCUGCAACAAGUCUCGGAGUACACGUUGUGUACACGAACUCUAGUUGAGUCACCCUUAUUGUAGGAGGGGGACCCGUCAGAUGUAUGGAGUAGGUGGAAAGCAAAGCAACCACUAUUGACCAUAUGCUCCUUGAACGUCCUUGUCAGUGGACCCCAACGUAGGUCAGCCUUUAGAUCAUGCUUAUCUACAUCAUAUUGAGACCUAGCGGGACCUACUUGAUCCUUUGUAAGAGACUCGCCCAUAAAGCAUCUCUACGUGCUAAUUGUUGCAUCUUUGAGGGUAAUAUGAUCAUUUGAUGGACUGGUUUAGGGAAAACAUGUGUUAGAAUUAAAGGAGCGUGUGUUACGCAAGGAAAAAGAAAAGAAAAAAAAGAGUUUAGGAGUUUUUUUAGUGACCUUUAUGGCUUUUGUUUUUCACAAUUCAAAAAUUCAAAAAGACUUUUUACCUUUUGCACUCAUUUACUCAAAAAACAAAAUAUCAAAAAGAUUUUGCCUUUGUUUCUUUCUUUUAGCAAGCAUUCAUAAUUUGAAAAUUUCAAAAAAGAUUUUUUUUUUUGGAGUUAUUUUUUAUAAAGGAAAAAUUCAAAAAAAAUGAUAGAAGUUUUGUACAUUUCAUGUAACGAAAUACAAAAAGUUUUUUCUUUCAUAAUUGUUGGUGUCAAUCUUAUGUGAAGUGUCCAAUUGAACCCCCCCCCCCCCCCAAAAAAAAAAGAUUUUAUUGACAUUUUUUAUCAUCCAUCUUUGGUCAUGUCUAUCAAGUAAAGGUUCAGUUUGUUGUUUAAUCCUUAAUUAUCCAAUCUGGACGAAUUACACAUACCUGAUUCUUCUCUCUCGGGGCUGACAUACGUAGGCACCCCUUCCAGGGUUCAGUAAUCUUAUUUACAAAAACCACAAAAAGAUUUUUCUUUAAUUGUUUCAAGUUUAUUUUCGUAUGAAAUUCAAAAUUGAAACCCUAAAAAGGAUUCUUCUUUGGUAAUUAGAGGUUUCGUUUUGUAUAGAAAUCUGAAAAAAUUCAAAAAAAAUUUAUUCACUCUUCAUUUAGAGUAGGUAUCAUAUACAUCUCUAAAAGAAAACGACAAAAGAUUUUCUUUUAAUAGUUUCAAGUUUCAUUUUCGUAUGAAAUUCAAAAUUGAAAACUCAGAACGAGUUUCCUUUGGUGACCAUAAGUUUCAUUUUGUAUAGGAAGCUGAAAAAUUCAAAAAGAUUUUCGUCAAUUCUAUUGGCAAUUUGUUAUUUUCUUUUCUUCUUAAAGUUUCAAGAAAAAGAAAAAAAGAAAGAGAGUUGAUCGGUCGUUUUGUGGCCAAAUUUCAUGAACUACACACACCUGAUUUUACUCUCUCGGGAGUGAGAUAUGUAGGCGCCCUUCUUGGGUUCGGUGAUCUUUUUAAAAAAAAAAGAAAGAAAAAGAUUUUUAAAAAAGAUGUUGAACUCCAACACAUUUGUUAUCUCUUGUUCAGUUAGUUUAAGGUGGUUGGUUUGUGGCAUUUUGAUUGGUCCUCCAUAUCACACCAAGUCUAAGGGAGAGUUAGUCAUGUCCAACAAGGAUAUAGAGAGUGACAUCAUGGAUCAGACGAAGGGUAAAAAAAUGAGAGUUUAAAGGAAGAGAUUUUGAGACUAAGGUAACAAAUGAUAGAAAUACACCGAUCUUGGGCCAGUGGGUUGCCUUCCUACUAUCGUUGAUGCACCACAACAUGCCUCGAAAUUCAUGACAUGUCAGCUGCAUCCCAAUACUUCCACCACCUCUUCUCUAUCUCCUCAAUAUAAGCCUACUAUAUUCGCAACACCAUAUGUCGUCUGUGAUUUGUUGCUCAACCCUCUAUUGAGGCUUCCACAUUGGCUAUCCGUCCAAUGAUUGUGGUUUCCCAGGCCACUAGUGAACCCAUGUUCAAUACUCUUGAUAAUCAUUUCUAUACUUAUUAGCCACUUUUAAGUUAACUGGACCACCAAAAUUUCUUACCAAGAAGUCCGACAUGGCAGAAGAGCAAAUGGUUUGGAAAAUGAAGGGUAUAGAAAAUACUAUGAAAAGUUCCCUAGGACUCGUAGAUAAAGAAGAUGUUUCAUAUAAAUAUUGAGGCAUGUCUUCAAGUUUCAACCUUUUUCAAAGAUUUUAGAUAUUGAAAUUUGAAGAACAUGAUGGACAUUAGGAUUCUGUGAAACAUUUGGUACGAUACUGCAAUAAAUCAAAGGAAGCUGAAGGGAAAAAGAAGGAAGACGUACCUAUUGUCGUGCCAGGGCCAAAGCAGAGAUUGAGAGGUCCAACUCACUAAUACUGUCAGCAUCAAUCCCUAUCUUACUUAUUAGAUCCACAUACUCACCUACAACACGGUUUCUCAUUCCAAAAUCCAAGAUAUUCUACUUUACUUCCUCAAUAUCCUUUGAAAAAUGCACAAUUGUAUACUCGUCUGUUAUCUUAUCCACAAUGGCAAGCACCGAUCCCUCAACAUCAUCCUCAGCCCCCCCAUAUAUUUACCAAGGUGCCUCUAAAUCCAAGUUUCAACCAAGGCUAGAGUUUUUAAAGAGGAUGAAGGAAAGGGGUAAUUUCACUCAUAUUGGGGAAUCCUAUGCCAGUUUGUUCCAUAGAUUGAGAUAGUGGGGCUUGAUUACUCCUCUCCUUAGGUAUACACUCGACUCACAUUCAAGAAAUUUUGACCCUAAUGUAUGGUGCGAAUAUCAUUCUGAUGUCUAGGGUCAUAAUAUUAAAGAUUGUCGUAAUUUGAAAAGAGAAAUAGAAAAGAUGAUUCAAGAAAAGUGAUUGUUGCAAAAUGUUGACACCUCGAGCGUUACACAGAAUCCUUCAUCAACACAUGGUGAUGCACAGUACGUGGGAAGUAAUGAGUUGGGCAUGAGGAUCCAAAACUUAUUUGUUGAGGGAAAUGUGUUUGAUGGUGAUGAAAGCUCUAAUCAUGAUGUGCAAAUCAAUGGCUAAGAUGUCAAGCUCAGCAAUUGGGAACUCACUCUUCUCCCUGCUAGGAUAAAUGUUUGGUAGUUUGUUUUCUUUUCUUUUCUAUUAUCUGAAUUAUUUCAGAGUUGUAGUUCGGGAUCUAUCUUGUUUUGCCCCUUUGUCGUUUAUGUUCAAACCCUUCCAUCUUUCAUUUAAACUAAAUGGAGUGCCCCUUUUUCCUUUGUGUUUUAAAUAUGUGUUGUUGUUUGUUUUCUUUACACAGUAUAUUUUAUGUUGGUUCUAGUGACAUGACAUGCUAGUGUAAUUUUCAGCUAGAUCUUAAAUCAAGUUUAACCAAGAAUUUUGAAUCAGAGGGAUAAGGUUAGAAAAGAAUCUGAGAAAAUAGGUAGAGUGCUAAGAUAUUUGGCAACAAGUUGAAGCCUUCUUUGAAAAUUAAGACAAUUAUUUUGAGAAUCACAAGAGUAACUUGGUCCUCAAUUGAAAAACAUGUCUCAAUUAGGUUAAAAAGUGGCUGCGUGAUCUUAUAUUAAGAGGAACAGAAAGAAAAUCAGCUCCACAAAAGCAUGAGUAAUUCGAUGUGAGGGAUGUACAACAAAGGUGGAGUUGUAUGCUGGAAAACUGUGGAAAAAUAUGUGACACACAUUCUCAGUUAAAGUAUUGAUAAAGUGUCACAAAUGCUCUUCAUCUCGCUUUCAUAUUGCAUUUUUACGUACUUGCAUUUUCAAGGAUUGAUAUGACGAAGGCAUUUCAUUCUGCUAUCCAAACAUUGUGUCAUCCUUUGUUUACCCAUUUGAGCCUUAGUUCUAUUUUCUUUCAUACCCCUCUUUUGGAAUCAAGAUAAGAUUCAGCAAUGUUCAAAAGAAAAGUGUUGAGCAAAAGAAUAAAGUAAAAAAUGUGUCAAAAAGAAAGAAAAAGAAGUGUCAAGGAAAAUAAAGUCAGAAAAAUUUUCAAAGAUAAAUAAAAAAAAGAAAAGAAGUUAGAAUCAAGCAAAAGAACGAGUUGUUGGAACUACGUGUGACCUGAUUCUUCUUUCUCGGGGAUGAGAUAUGUAGGCUGCCCUACUCUGGGCUUGGUCCAACCAAAUAAAUAAUUUAGUAUUUCCCAGUAAAAAAAAAACUAGGGCAUGAGUUAAUCCUCAUUAUUUGAGUCGAUUCUAAAAGUUGUAAGUCCCACCCUACUUUAAAUAUCGUUUGGGCCUCAUGCCAUUCUUUCUUUCUAACCCUAUCCAAAAGCCAAGUUACAACCAAAGAAAGACCUUCAGACCAAUCUUUGAGGAUGUUAAGGCUAAGCAUGCAAGGGAUAUAAUGAUGCAUUUGGGAACUACUUGUCUUCCUCGGCAUAAGGAAUCAAGAGAGAAAUAAAAAUGAGAGUCUUAUUGAUGAAAACCCUCACGGGCACCGUAAGGCAAUGGUAAGUCGAUAGAUAAUAAAAUGAGAGUCUUAUUGGUGAAAAUCUUCAUAGGCAUUGUAAGAUGAUGGUAAGUUGAGAAAAAUAAAAAUGAGAGAGUCUUAUUCGUGAAAACCUUCACGAGCACCAUAAGGCAAUGGUGAGCUGCGAGAAAAAUGAGAGAGACUUGUUGGUGAAAACCCUUCAAAGUGUCACUAGCCGAAUGAGGUCUUAAAUGCAAUUGACCUAAGGAAGUAACUCAAAUUCAAGGCCAUUAACUCAACAAGAAAUGGUAAAAGUUUGGACGAAAAGAUCAGGCAGCUUAAUCCGAAAUGUAUGUCAUAUCAUUGGAGUUGACUGUCACUUUCAGAUAAAUUCUUCUUUUCUCUAUUUUAAUGGGGACAUUCAUUAUAUUUUCUUUCUUCUGAUAGUUUUAUUUUUAUUUUCUUGAGUCAUUUAUUCAAAUAAAAAAAUCAUUGUCAUUUUUCUCGUGUCUUUGAGUCAAGUUUAUGUCAAAAUAAGUGAGAAAAGUUUUCAAAAUUGGAUACUAACUUCUUCAAUUGCGCUAAGAAAGACAAAAGGAAAGCACAUGAAAGAAACAAGAUUGCAAGUCAGAACAAGGCAUACAGAAGGUUGUUGUCAACCAACAAAUUUGGAGAAUUCGUGGAAAUACCAAUAUCUAAAGGGGAUUGUCUUAGAAACAUAGCAAAGCAGAGAUACUGUGUUUGUUUUAGAGUCACUCUUAAUAAUCUGAGUCUGGAGCAAUGGUGAAACAAGGCAAUGACGAAUGUUAAUGAUUGGAAUUAAGAUUUUAAUGGGACCAGUGCAAGAGAAAUUGCCUCAAAAGCAAAAUCCGCAAGCCAACCACCUUGUUUAAAACUCACAAGUUUUCUUUGUUAUAAAACAGGAAUGGUUGCUACCUUUUAAUCAAAGUCUUCAAAGCACAAAUAUCCAGAGCUGCAAUUCCUCAUUUCUGCAAAUGCAAGAGCAUAGGUUUGGUAAUUGCAAUUAUGGUAAAACUUAUUAUCUUGUACCCCUAAGAGACACAUUCUCUAAUUUAGGCCUUUCAUGUCUUACGGCUAGGAGGUGCACUUCCUAAUUUGAACCGUUAGUUCUAAAAGAUGCACUUUUAGCAAGAACCUUUCACAUUCAUUCUUAAGAGACGAACUUUUUGGUCUCAGUCAUUCAAUUUUACCCUCAAAAGGGACAUUUGUUGAUCAGGAUCUUUAUUUAUCUUUGUAACGACCCUCCUGGUCUUGUGAAAUCUUUUCAACUUCCUUAUUCUAGCUCUUAUGGUAGUUUGUAUAUGUAAUUUAUGACUUACGAAGAUAGAUAGUACCGAUUCUUGAUGUGUUCUAGGUGAGUUAAGUUCCUAGUUGGGUAUUUUAGAUAAUUAAUUUAAUUAGUAAUUUAAUGGGUCCAAAACCAUAGUUUAACUACUUAUGGGGUCAAUACAAAAAAUAAAUUUAAGUUAGAAGGGUUUAUCGGGUAUAAUAAUAGAAGCAAAUAAUCCCAAGAAAGGGUGAACGACGGUUAGCAGCCAUAUUUUGUAUUCACCUCUUUAAAGAAAAUUCGUGACCUCUUAUAGGUUUCCUUUCUAAUAUCUUUAGAAUUUGAUUAGAAACUAGUAAAUAAAUGUUGUGUAGUGAUUUCCUGUAAUCAUUGGCAUAGUUGACCAUACAAAGUAAUAUUAAAAUAGUAAUAUGAGAGAUAUGAGAUAUUCUUACAAUUUGUCCUUUUAUAUGGAUUGGGAUAAAUCAGUGGAUACAAAUUUAUAUUAGGAUAGCCGGUCAUAUUUUAAUGAUGAUUAUGGGUUUUUGGUGCCUGCAGUGUCAUGAUAGAACUAUUUUGUUCUUGGCAUCAACAGCAUGCCUCGGAGAUUUGGAACUAACAAUUGUUAUUUUAGACAGUAACGACAUAGUAAUAAUAAUUUCAUAAUCAUAUUGAGGUUUAAGCGUAGAAAAUCAUUGUGUUUAAUAUGGAUGGAUUUUAUAAUUUAACAUGUUAUCAAACCAUAUAUGUUUUGGGUUAUGGUUAUAUAUAUGUGCUCUAUUGAUAAAUUAUUCUGCACUAGCUAUUUGAUAUCAUUUAAUUUUAAUGGGAAUAGUCUUCUUACUAUUUCGUUAGUACAUAAGACUAGAAUGAAUAUUUUAUUUAGCUAAACAAUUCGUUCAUGGCUAUUUGAUUGGAUUGGACUCGAUGUUCCUGUUUUGGCUAUUUGAUUUACUCAAUAUUGGCCAUUGAAUUGACAUAUUAUAUUGUUUGCUCUCUAAAUCAACAGGAGAUACUAUUUUGAUUAUUUCAUAGGUCUUAAGGGUAAAAAUGUGUAAAAUGGGUGUCACUAGAUUCGUACUCUUAUUGGGAUUAUAGUUUGAACAACUUUGAAAUAUUCGGAAGCUUUAUGGAAGGGCAAAACCCUUGCACAUUAGCUUGCUUUUGAGUUCUUCGAUUGAGGUAGGUUAUGAUUUAAUUAGAGUUUAGAAUCAACUUGAUUGUGUGUAUGCUCCUAAAUUAGAUACUUGUUGAUUGGUAUUCGGAUAUGCUUGAAAUUGUUGAUGUUUGGACUAUUGAUUUGUGUAUAAAUGAUUAUUGAAAAUUUACUUGAUGGAAUUGUCUUAUGACUUUAAAUGUACUUGUAAACUUGGUGCAUUGUGUUGUAUGCUUGAGGUAGUUUAAAUUUGAUAUUGAUAUUACUUGUUUAUAUGUUGGAUCGGGUACCAUGCCGGUAUGGAUAUGUAUAUAUUGGAUCGGGUACCACACCAGUAUGAAUAUAUAUAUGUUGGAUCGGGUACCACGCCAGUACGGAUAUGUAUAUGUUGGAUCGGGUACCACGCUAGUACGGAUAUUUAUAUGUUGGGUUGGGUGCCACACCGGUGUGGAUAUGUAUAUGUUAGAUCAGGUACCACGUUGGAUCGGGUACCACACCGAUACGGAUAUGUAUAUGUUGGAUCAGGUACUACGCCUGUAUGGAUAUGUAUAUGUUGGAUCGGGUACCAUGUUGAUACGGUACAUGAACAUAGAUUGUUCCCUGCAGGUCAUGACUAUUUGGGUAAAAAUAAGCCCCAUAGCAUGUGUGUACGUAUUUAUAUUGAUUCUGUGGAUGUUUAUAGCAUGGUUGAUACUCUUGAUGGUUAUGUGGCUUAUUUGUGAGCACUGUUUGACCUAUUGUUGUUGUUGUUGUAUUGUUGAUUCAUUGAAUAUUUAUUUUGUGACGAUGCCUGUUUACUUGUUAUCUAAUUUAUGUUGUGUAAAUGCUAUUAAAUUGAGUUGGCCUAUGAUACCUACCAGUACAUAGUGGUUUGUACUGAUACUACCCUGUACUUUUCUUUUGUUGAGUGUAGAAAGUGUUCUUGGGACUCAGACAUGACCUCACCUCUAGAGUUUGAUAGUAGAUCUUGAUCCAAGGGUGAGCACUCUGUCUCCAGGAUGCCAUAGGUCAUCCUAUUUAUUCUGUCCAUCUUUCGGGCAAUGAAACAUUCUUUAUUUACUUUAUUUUUGGAUAUCCCUUUAGACAUGAUCUUUGUUAGUAGUUCUUGUACGAUGACUUUCGGAUCUUGAAAAUUUUAGUAAGUAGUUUGUUUUAAUUCCGUAUUAACAAUGAUUAGUCUUGAAUUAUUGUUAUUAUGUUGAUUUUAUAAUAAUAUUAUCUUAAUAUUGAUUAAGUGAUUGGGUAAUAGUUCGAUUUAGAUGGUUCUCCCACAGAAAGAUUAGUGUGGGUGCCACUUAUGGCCAUUUGGGUCAUGACAAAGUUGGUAUCAAAUCCCUAGGUUUGUCGAUCUCGUCGUAUAAGAACAUGUCUAGUAGAGUCUUGCAGAACGGUACGGAGACGUCUAGAGUCUUGCAGAACGGUACGGAGACGUCUGUACUUUCCUUCGAGAGUCUAUGAGACACUAGAAAAAUUUAAAUUCUUCUUCCUUAUGUGUUACUACUUGAUUUCAAUUGGUAUCUGACUUUUUUUCACUCUUAUUCUCGAAGAUGGGUGUGGUUGAGAGGUAUGGUAUAGAACUAGUUGUCACACCACUUUUUAAACUCCAAAAAAGAUUCGUUUUAAGUUCGAAAGGGUUUUUAUUAUCAACGUGACAAAAGAUAAAAAUUUUGUUUCGAAAAGAAUUCACUUUAAAAUUAACUCAGAGUCGCCACUUGGCAUAAUCCGGUGUGCCAAGUCACCUUUGAAAAAUCCUUUUCAAAACGAUUUGACUCUUUAAAACUGGUUUGCAAACAGAGAUUCCGGCUAAGAAAUUCUGUUGAUCGAGGGGAAGGUGUUAGGCACCCCUCGGUCUCAUGGUUCAACCACGGUCGCUUGGUAGAGCGUAUCGGCUAAUUUGCCAUUCUGAAUUUAUAAACCACACAAAACAAACAAAAAACAAACAAACAAACAAACGAAAACAAAACGAACCAAAAAUAUAGUGUCCAGUCCAAUUUAUACAUUCCAAAUAGAAAAAUGCAAAAAAUAAAUCUUAUCUAACCUAUACUAAUUCUAAAUUUGCUCUCGUGCAUAACCCGACGCCUCGGGCCUUCAUUAUAAAUGUUCUCAGGGUACAUAAUACUUUGAGGCAUUCCCCGGUGAAUGAACAUAAAUACCUCGGGGCAUUCCCCGGCCAAAUGAUACAUUCAAUCCCGAAAUCAAUAAAACCAAACCGUUCACACUCAUUUCAAGCAUUCAAUAAUUCAACGAGCAAAACUUAUUCCUAAAUCUUUGCCUACCCGAGCCUACUUUUGUCUAUUCAUUAGGCCUACCAUGAUACUAUCACGUCAAUGAUAUUCAAUGAAUCAAAAUAAAUUAACGCUUGCUUUUUUAUCAAUUUCAAUUCCUACCCCCCUUAAAAAAUAGCUUCCUUUUCAAUCAAUCAAUGAUUAAUUGAUCUUUCAGUUUAGCACCUUUUCAAAAUUCAAAACCAACAUCCAUACAUCAACCAACGAAAAUUCAAACAUAUGAAUCAUUAAUACCCAUCACAACAGUUAAGACCACUAAAAUUAUCAAGAAAUCACGCCAAGGCCAUAUUUGAACUAAUAAAGAGAUAGAGUUGAGAAAAUGAACCUUUGAAUAUUACAAUGAUAUCAAUGUUUAAGAAAACCAGACUCGAAACGCUCGAAUAGAAACUCUCAACAGCGUCAAGAUCAUAACUAGAAUCGAUAAACAUCAGUCCAAAAUUGACCACAAUAACCUGACUAAGACCCAAAAUAGAAAUUCCAACCCGAUCGACGACACGAUUUGAUAAUAAAAAAAACCUCCAAGACCAUCAAUAACAACGAACAACAAACAUAGAUGAAACAAAAAAAAAACUCCCAACGAUACGAUAGAAAUCGAGAUCCAAGAGAUUCCGGCGAAGUAGUCGCCGGAACAGUGACCAAACCUGCAAAACCCUUUUCCGAAUAACUUCAAAUCUACCCUUUUUUCUUCCCCGUUACAGAUCCACCCUCAAUUUCUCUCUCACGUGCGAGUCUCUCGAUAUUUUUGGUCAAACUCUCCACUACCUGAUUGUCUAUUCCGGUUGUGUGUUCUGUGUGCGUGAGUGAGUGUGAAUUAGUGAGGUGUAGUAUAUGAGAUUGUGUGCAUGCGAGUUACUGUGUAAAAGAAAAGACGGCCCCAAAAUUGGAGUCCGUCAGUGUUUUUUUUUUUAAUGAAGAAGAUCAUGUUCUUGGUGUGUUAUGUGUAGAUGAUGAUAAGAGCAAGAACCAGAAAAAUUGUGAGGCCUACCCCCCCCCCUUUCUCUCGUGCACUGUGUGUGUAUAUAUUUCAAAAGGAAAGAAAAAUAUUUUUGGAGACUUAUGGGUCCAUCCCCCUAGGUAAUUUCCUGGAAAGUUCCCUGGGUCCUUUCUUUGUUAACAAGCAAAAUAAGAGAGGGAGUGAGGGGUCACGUGAGGUAGGGGAUAGGAGGGGUAGGGGUUCGGAUGUGUUGUCAAUUUUUAAUAGGUUGAGUUGUUGGAAUCUUUAAAAUAAGACAAAAUUAGUUAGGUUUGUUAAAUGGGUUAAAAACAAAACAAAACAAAUAAAUAAAUGAGUAAAAGAUGAGGUGGUUAUUUAUUUUCUUGGGGAAAAAUUACUAUGUGGAUAGGGUAUGUAGUAAAAUGAGGUAAACGAUAAAAUGUGUGAAGGGACAAAAUUACGUGUCUACAUCAUGCCCCCUUUGAAUGUAAACACCUAGUGUUUUCAUACAAAGAAGUAGACAACGAGACAGAAUUUUGUCCCAAUCAUUAUUCGAAGAAAGAAACAAAAGAAAGAAAGAGAACCGAGUCUUGACGGACAUCCUACCUACCCAUGUUAUGAGGGAAUCAAGUGACUGGUAUCUCCAAGGGUUGGAAGGAGAGGAACUAUACCGAGUUGGAGAGUCGAGUGAGGUUCCAUCGAGGUUUUGGUCCGCGGCUCUGUCAUUACAUCAAAAAUAAAAAUUACACGUUAAAACAUCAAUGAAAUUACAAAAUCCUAUCUAUGGAGCUUUCUUUGACUAUUUACUCGCUACUCCAUCACCUUAUUCUUCAGGCGGGCUCCUGACUUGCAAUUUCUUCACCCUGUUGCUUGACUUUUAACUUCUUCACCCUGUUCUUCAGGCGGGCGUCUGACUUGCUAUUUUUCUUUCGAUUUCUUCACCUUGUUGCUUGACUUUCCACUUUUCACCCUAUUUUCAAGUGGAACCCUGACUUUUAAUUUCAUCACCCUGUUCUUCAGGCGAGUUCUUGACUUUCCAUUUCAUCACCCCAUUCUUUAGGCGAGUUCUUGACUUAUAAUUUCGUUACCCUGUUCUUCAGGCGGGCACCUGACUUACAGCUUCAUCACCCUGUUCUUCAGGUGGGCUCCUGAACUCAAAAUAAAAGCUAGAAAUAAAAUUAUCCCAAACGAAGAUUAUGAUAAAGAAAAAUUUCACUUUUUCCUAAAAGUAAUGUCCCAUUUUCCAGGAGGGUCCUGAACAUAAAGUAAAUUCCCAUUUUUAAAGAGGGUCCUGAACAGAAAGUAAAUUCCCAUUUUUCAGGAGGGUCCUAAACACAAAGUAAAGUCCCAUUUUUCAGGAGGGUCCUGAACAGAAAGUAAAAUUCCAUUUUUUAGGAGGGUCCUGAACAGAAAGUAAAAUUCCAUUUUUCAGGAGGGUCCUAAACAGAAAGUAAAAUCCCAUUUUUCAGGAGGGUCAUGAACAGAAAGUAAAAUCCCAUUUUUCAUGAGGGUCCUGAACAGAAAGUAAAAUCCUAUUUUAAGGAGGGUCCUGAACAGAAAGUAAAGUCCUCAUGGAUGUGUUUUUCCAAUGGUAACUGAAUUAAAUGAAGUGAAUUUGCCCCUAUUUCAACAAAGAAAAUUUGUCAGUUAAAAACUUAGUGGUGGCUUGUAGCACUUGGCUUCCCAGGGAUCUGCUCCAACCAUUGUUCCUUUCACCUUUGUUUCAGAUCACUGAAACUUAUCUCUGUCUUGUCGCAUCAUUGACCCAGAUCCAAAUUGAGGGAAAUGAGUUUUGACUCGAACAAUGAGUCUCCAUUUUACCAUGCCUCUGAGAUGCACCCUUUUCCAAAUCUUAAUACUCCCACGAAUCCAGCAGCCUGUCGGUUGAUAGACUUCCUUUUCUUUGUGUUGAAUUACGAUCAUAUUUCUUUCAUGUGCUGGUCCUUGGCUUUUCCUCAGAAAAUUGGAAAGACUGGUAGCAAGUUUUGAAAUCUUUUCUCGCUUGUUUUGACACAGACUUGACUUAAAAUGUAGAGAAAUGAUGGUGACUGUUAUUUUGAUAAAUGACAUAAAAAGACAAAAUAUGAAUAUGUAAUGAAAGAAAAAGGAAAUGUCCCUUAUUCAAAAAGAAAACUUAUCUGAAUACGGCAACCAAUUCCAAUGAGUAUGACAUGCAUUUUGGAUUAAGCUGCCUGAUCUUCCUAUCCAAACUUCCCAUUUUUUGUUGAGUUCAUGCCUUUGCCACUGAGCCACUUCUUCAAAUCCAUUGGACUCACAUAACUCAUUCAAUUGAAAACAACUUAAAAGACUUUCGCCAACAAAUCUCUUUCCUUUUCACUUUUCUCUCAAACUCGCCAUCGCCUUACGGUGCCCAUAAGGGUUUUCACCAAUAAGACUCUCAUUUUUAUUUCUCUCAGCUCCCCAUCGUCUUAUAGUGCUCGUGAGGGUUUUCACAAGUAUGAAUCUCUCAUUUUUAUUUCUCUCGACUCACCAUUGCCUUAUGGUGCCCGCGAGGGUUUUCACUAAUAAGACUCUCAUUUUUAUUUCUUUCCUGAUUUUUUAUACUGGGGAAGACAAGUAGUACCCAACAAUGUAUCAUUAUAACCAUUGCAUGCUUAGUCUUAACAUUAUCAAAGAUUGAUUUGAAGGACUUUCUUUGGUUGUAGCUUGGCUUUGGAUAAGGUUAGGAAAGGAUGACAAGAGACUCAAACGAUACUUGAAGUGGGGGUGGGAGUUACAACUUUUGAAAUCGACUCAAACAACACAUUAACUCAUGCCCCAGUUUUUGUUGACUGGUACCAGAAUCUAAAAUCUUUAUUUGGUUGGACCGAGCCCUGAAUAGGGAAGCCUAUGUAUCUCACCCCCAAGAGAGGAGAAUCAGGUCGUACAUAGUUCCAUCAGCUUGUUCUUUGUUUUGAUCUAAUUUUCUCUUCUCUUUUUUUUCUUUUAUUAUUAUUUAUUUAUUUUUAUUAUUUUUUUAUUGACAUUUCACUUUUUGCUUUGUUUUGAUUCCAAAAGAGGGAUAUGAAAGAAAAAGAGGACUAAGCUCAAACGGGGUAAACAAAGAAUGUCACAAUGUUUGGAUAACAGAAUGAAAUGCCUUCAUCAUAUCAAUCUUCAAAAAUGCAAGUACUAGACAUGUACUAAAAUCAACAAAGGAUAAAAUAUCAUACAUAAUAUCUUUUGACCGCAUCAACAUUGAUAGCCAUUUCUGCCAUUUUGCCUUCAAUAUCUGUCAAAUAUAAGGCUCCAUUGGGCAACACUUUCUUCACCAUGAAGGGACCUUGCCAAUUAGGGGAGAACUUGCCUUUUGCUUCAACCUGAUGAGGAAGAAUACAUUUCAAUACCAACUGACCAACUUCAAAAUUCCUGGGACGUACCUUUUUGUUAUACGCUCAAGCCAUUCUCUUCUGAUACAAUUGGCCAUGACAUACCGACUUCAAUCUUUUUUCAUCAAUCAAACUCAAAUGUUCCAAUUAGGUUUUGGCCCACUCAUCAUCAUCAAUCUCUGAUUUCACAAUGACUUAAAGAGAGGGAAUUUCAACUUCAGUGGGAAUGACUGCUUCUGUCCCGUACACCAAUAAAUAUAGAGUUGCCCCUGUUGAAGUGUGAACAGUAGUGCGAUACCCUAGCAAUGCAAACGGCAACUUCUCAUGCCAUUGUCUAUAUCCUUGCACCAUUUUCUGUAGUAUUUUCUUGAUAUUCUUAUUGGCAGCUUCCACCGUGCCAUUUGUCUUUGGAAGAUAUGGAGUGGAAUUUUGAUAUACGAUCUUAAACUGUUGGCAUACUUCUUGAAUCAAAUGUCUAUUGAGAUUGGCAGUAUGUCUGUAAUGAUCAUCUUUGGAAUUCCAAACCUACAAAUGAUGUUGGCAUGAAAGAAAUCUACUACCGCCUUCUUUGUUACCGACUUGAAAGUUACUGCUUCUACCACUUUGUGAAGUAAUUAAUGGCCACCAGAAUAAACCUAUGCCUAUUUGAUGCUUUUGGCUCAAUCAGUCCAAUCACGUCCAUUCCCCAGGCUAUGAAAGGACAUAGAACAACCAUUGCGUGCAACUCAGUUGGAGAAGAAUGUAUUAGAUCACCGUGUACCUGACAUUGAUGACACUUGAGAACAAAUCGAAUAGAAUCCCUCUCCAUAGUGAGCCAGUAAUAGAGAAUCUUCUUUGAUAAGACAUAACCGUUCAUAUGAGGCUCGCAUACUCUGGAGUAAACUUCAACAAUGAUUGCCGAAGCUUCUUUUACAUAUACAUACCUCAAAAGUCCCAGAUCCGGGGUUCUCUUGUAUAAGACUCUUCCACUUAAGAAAAAUCCACUAGCCAAAUGCCUAAUAGUCCUCUUUUAAUCAUUGGUGGCAUGUGCUGGGUAUUCUCCUGACUGGAUGUACUGCUUGAUAUAAAAGAACCAAGGUUCUCCAUGGAGCUCUUCUUGAACUGCAUUACAAUAAGUGUGUUGAUCAUGACUCUGAAUAUGCACUGGAUCGAUGUAGGCCUUAUCAGGAUGUUGGGGCAUCGAAGAUAAAGUGGCCAACCCAUCAGCAAUCUCAUUGCAAAUUCUUGGAAUAUUCCUAAACUUUACAGACACAAACCGUUGACAUAGAUCUUUCAAGCAUUGUCAAUACGGUAUUAGCUUUAAAUCUUGCGUCUCCCAAUCACCUUGAAUCUGAUAGUCGAGCAAAUCUAAAUCCCCAACACUAUUAGUUCCUGGACUCCUAUAUCAACAACUAGCCUCAACCCAGAAUGCGAGCUUCAUAUUCUGCCAUGUUAUUGGUACAAUAAAAUCGAAGUUGUACUGUUACCGAAAAAUAUUGCCCCACCUCAGAGAUAAGAACAACACCUAUUCUAACUCCCUUGACGUUAACAACUCCAUCAAAGAACAACUUUCAACCUGGAUCAACAUCUAUAAUGACUUCAUCGACACACAAUACCUCUUCAUCUGGAAAAUAUGUCUUUAAUGGGUCAUACUCUUCAUCAAUGAGAUUCUUAGCAAGAUGAUCUGCUAAGGCUUGGUAUUUCAUGGCGGUUCGAGUCACAUAUACAAUGUCAAACUUGGUAAGCAAUAUUUUCCACUUUGCCAAUCAACUCGUUGGCAUAGGCUUAUGAAAUAUAUACAUCAACAGAUCUAUGCGGGAGAUGAGAUAAGUAGUAUAAGAUGAAAGAUAAUGCUUAAAAUUUUGUUCUACCCAAGUCAGGGCACAACACGUUCUUUCAAGAAGUGUGUACUUGGCUUCAUAUGUUGUGAACUUCUUGCUAGGUAAUAAAUAGUUUAUUCCCUUUUGCCCGUGACAUCAUGCUAACCCAAGACACAACUAAAGGAAUUGUCCAUGACUGAUAAAUAUAUGAUCAAAGGCCUACCAGGAUCCGGUGGUACCAGCACGGGCGGAUUUAACAGAUAUCUUUUGAUUUUAUCGAACACUUCCUGGCAUUCUUCAAUCCACUCUACCACAACACUCUUUUUCAGCAACUUGAAAAUGGGCUCACACGUGGUUGUGAGUUGAGAAAUAAACCUGCUGAUGUAGUUCAAUCUACCCAGGAAACUUAUCACCUCCGUCCUAUUCUUGGGUGAAAGCAGAUCUUGGAUGGCUUUGAUUUUCGAGGGAUCCAAUUCAAUUCACAGAUGGCUGACUACAAACCCCAACAACUUUCCAGACGGAACUCCAAAUACAAAUUUUGCUGGAUUGAGCUUGAGAUUAUACCUGGGAAGCCUUCUAAAGAACUUUCUUAAAUCUUUUACAUGGUCAACCUGGCUCUUUGAUUUAAUAAUUACAUCAUCUACAUAGACUUAAAUAUCCUUAUGCAUCAUAUCAUGAAACAUGGUGGUCAUGGCUCUCAUGUAUAUUGUUCCAGCAUUCUUCAAACCGAAUGGCAUCACUUGAUAAAAUAAGUACCCCACAGUGUGAUAAAAGACGUCUUUUCCACGUCUUCAUCAUCCAUAAUGAUCUGGUGGUAUCCAGCAUAACAAUCCACAAAAAAGGCUACCUCAUAUUUAGCGCAAUUGUUCAGCAAAAUAUGGAUGUUGGGCAGCGAAAAAUCAUUAUUCGGACUUGCUCUGUUCAAAUCAAGGUAAUCAACACAUACUCGAAUUUUGUCAUCUUUCUUUGGGACAGGAACAACAUUGGACAACCACGUAGGAUAAAGAGCCACUCGAAUGACUUUGGCUUUCAGUUAUUUCAUAAUUUCCUCUUUGAUUUUAAUACUUACAUCAGUUUUAAACUUCCUCAACUUCUAUUUCACAGGGAGGGGAAGGCAGGAUCAGUUGGCAAUUUAUAAGACACUAAUUCAGUGGUUAAACCGGGCAUAUCAUCAUAAAACCAUACAAAAACAUUCUUAUAAUCAAUUAAUGCUUGAACCAUGCCCUCUUUUAGCUGUGGCAAAGCAUGUACACUAAUUUUAGUUUCCCUAACAUCUUCUUGAUUCCCUCGAUUAAUUGGGUCAAUUUCAUUCAAAUUAGGAUUUGAAUUGUCUUCAAAUUGUUUCAACUCUUUGCUUAUUUCUUCUAGUGCCUCUUAUUCAUCAUAUUCCCCUCUUGCUUCAAUAUAUCUUGAUUAGUUUGGAUUUUAAGAUUAGGCUAAAAAUUUCACAUGCAUGUCAUGUCAUUAGAGUCAGCAUAAAGAGAACUGUAUAAAGAAAAGACAAAACAAAAUACAUUAGACAAAAAAUAAAAGGGACAUUACAUUUCAUUAAAAGGGAAAGGUAGGAGGGUUUAAACACAAACAACAGAAUAUAAACAAGCUAAAUUCUGAGUUACAACCCUGGAAUAACUCAAAAAACUGAAAGGAAAACAAAAUAAACUAUCAAAACAGCCUCCUGAUGGGGAGAGGAGUGACUUCCCAAUUGUUGAGACAGACAAUUGGAACUAUGAACUGCACAUCUUCCUUACUGGUACCUUCUCCUGCUUCAACCAUGUCAACUUCAAUCAAUAGGUUCUGGAAGUCAUCAACCAAUUUAGCUUUAAAUUCUACAUGCUUUAUGACACCGCUCUUGACAAAUGACUCACUGAGUAGCGGCGUUGGGUGAGGGAGUGACCAUGUUUCCUUUUUCCUUUCCUUGGCCUCCUUCAGAUCUUCAGUCGUAGGUUCAAAACCCAGACCAAAAGUGCCUAUGUUCUCCCUCGGACAUAUAGGACGAACUAUACCAUACAGAGACACUCCCAAACCUUUUCCUGGCACAAAUCCAUACUUCAACAUCUCAUUCACCAUCAUGAAAGAAGUAGAAGACAAUCGUGGUCCCGACAUAACCUUCUCCUCAAGAAUAAGAUCCACCGACACUGUAUCAAACGACUGAUAGAUAAAUGUAUCCUCUACACUAAUUGCUUCAAUAAGAGGGAUGAGAGAAUCUUUGUGGGCGGACAAAUCCCUUUUGCCAUGAAUAACCACUUCUUGCCUGUCAUGCUCAAACUUGAUCAUCUAGUGCAAUGUAGAUGCAACAGCCCCAACUUUGUGGACCCAUGGUCUUCCCAACAACAGAUUGUAUGAGGAGUCAAUAUUCAUCACUUGGAGCUCUAUGGAAAAUUCAACAGGCCCUAUAAGCAACAUUAGUUAUAUUUCGCCAAUGAAGUCUGUUUUAGCCCCAUCGAAAGUCCUGACACAUACAUUAUUCGGCCUAAUCCUCUCGACACCGAUGUUCAACUUUUGUAGUGUAGAUAUAGGGCAAAUAUUUAUGCCAGAACCUCCAUCAAUCAUGACAUGAGUGACGCAGAAAUCUUAACACUUCACGGUAAUGUAAAGACCCUGGUUAUGCCCCGUACCUUCAACUGGAAAUUUGUUAUCAGAGAAGCUGAUUCGAUUUACUUCAAAGAUUUUUUCGACUAUUUUCUGAAGCUGAUUUAUCGUAAUCUCCUUAGGAAAGUACGCUUUGUUUAAUACCUUCAGUAUAAUGUCACGAUGUUCCUUGGAAUGCAACAACAAAGAUAAGAGGGAAAUUUGAGCAGGGGUCUUCUUCAACUGAUCUAUUAUUGAAUACUCUGGAAAUUUCAUCUUUUUCAAAAAUUCUUCAACUUCUUUUUCGGUGACAGGCUUCUUGACAGAUGAAGGCCCACUUACCCCUGGCUUGGGCUUCAUCAAACCUUUAAGCACGAAGCAUCUUCCUGACCGAGUCAGACCCCCUAUCACAUCUACUUCUUCCUCGACUUUCUUUCCUUAAUAAGUCAUCACAGUCUGCUUAUAGUUCUAGGGUACCUUUUUCGUAUCAACUGUCGGAGGUUGGGUCACCGGUUUGAUGAUAAUAGGCGCUGCAAGUACUCCUUUCACUGUCAAGAUAGGCUUACCCGGAGCUCCUAUCACCAUUAAAUUAUGCUCGUCUUAACUUAGACCAACAUUUUUUCUGGCUCCUUGCACCACAAUCACAGGUUUCUUUGUGCUUUCUUGGACUUUAUCUUCUCCCAUUCCUUCCUGGCUUAAUGACAUUGCUUUCAAUGAAUCUUCAACAUUCACCUAUUUGUCCUCCUUGGUUUGUAUUCUGACAAUAGGCUUAUAACACAUUGAUGACUCUUUGCCAUCAUAUAUCAACUCCAAUAUAUUAGUUUCAGCAUGGUUGGCAAUGGAUUCUGGUUAAUGUUUGGAAUUUACAGGGCCUGGACUAGAAGUUGAUUUGCAUCAAUUAAAUCUUAGAAAACUCUCUUCAAAUGCCAGCAUUUCUCGAUGUCGUGCCCCGGCAUAUCAAAACAAUACGCAUAUCUUAAUGAAUAAUCAAGAUUUCUCGGAGGUGGAUUCAAAAGCCUUCCUUGAAUUAGGCUCAAUACCUUCAAAUUCCUCAACCUAGGUUGGAAAGCGGGUUUGGAGGGUUUUUGGUAAUUUGGAGGAGCUGAAGGACGAUUUUGAGGAGCUUAUGCAUGCCAUUGUGGGUAAAAAAGGGUUUGAGCAUAUGCUUGUGCGCUAUUUACUGGGUACGGGGGUGGUGGAAUGGAAUAUAGUGGGUUUUGUAGGGGAUAGUAAUGAUGGGAAAGAAUAUAUGGAGCUUGGGCAUAGGCUUGGGCUUGGGGUUAGUGAUAGGGGCAAGGUGGUCUUUUGGGAUAGGAAUGGGAUAUAGCUAUAAUGGUUGCCACCUCCUCUUUCUUAUUUUUUACCUCCAAAAGUUCCAGAGCCACCUUGAAUUGCUUGGGUGAUGGCUUUUAAUGCGGCAAAACUCAUAAUCCAUCUAGUCUUGUUUCUGUCCUCUAUCAUCUCUCCCAUUUUUAGGACUUCAAUAAAUGACUUUCUCAUCGCCGGAAGUAAAUGUUGAAAAUAGGUCUCAUCCUAUGCCAGAAUGAAGACCUCUACUAACUUACUCUCCUUCAUUGGAGGUUUUACCCUUGCGGACUGUUCACGCUAUCUUAUCGCGUAUUCCCAAAAACCUUUAGUACUUUUCUUUUUCAUAUUGACCAGGGAUUUCUCAUCAGGAACCAGAUCGAUGUUAUAUUGAAAAUAUUGCACAAAUUCAUUAGCUAGGUUAUCCCAGUUGUUCCAAUUGUCAAUAUCCUGAUCGAUGAAACAUUCUAAAGCCAGACCGGAAAGACUCUCACCAAAGAAAGCCACAAACAACUCUUCUCUUCCCCCUGCAGCCCUCAAUUGGUUGCAAUAACGUCUCAAAUGCGCCACGGGAUCACCGUUUCCCUCGUACUUCUCAAAUUUGGUCAUUUUAAAACCAAGGAGAAGGUUAACGUCUGGGCAUAUGCAAAGAUCUCUAUAGGAAACACUCUUAUAACCCCCGAUUCCUUGUAAAUUCCUCAUGGCCUGUUCUAAAAUUUUCAAUUUCCACGCUAUGACUUCUUGUUCCUCUAUUGUAACUAGCUUCUCUGUAUCAAAUGGAAAUGCAGGUGGAUGAGUGUACCCAUAUGGUUCAUUCAUCUUCAAAGUAGGUUCCAGGGCAUAAUACUGAUUAUCUGAAACCUUCAAUACUGGCUCACUAACAGACUGAAGGAGUACCAUUGUCGGACGUACAGUAUAGAUUGGAGCUUUAGGUGGUGGCGGAGCCACGAACACAGGCGCUGCCGGUGGCUCCGAAUGAGUCACGGGCCUUAGUUGAGGAACUGCUAGGGGAACACUAUAAGUGCCAGGGUAAUAUUGCCGUGGAGUGAAUCCGUUGACUCAAUGGGAACAGUGAAUUGCGCCUAAGAGAGCUGUGGGCAAUUAGGGAAAUUCCCAAGAUCUUUAGGGAGUGGAGGAGGAGGCAUGCCACUAGCCCAUGCUCGGUGAAGAUCUAGCAAUUGUUGUCUAAGUCUUAAUACCUCAUCAUUGCGUUCUAAACUUUCUUUCCUGGGAUCCUGAUCUGGGUCAAUGAGUGAAUUUUCAAUCUCCCUACUAGACAUGACAAGCUUAUCUUUUGAUCUAGUGAAGUACAGAUGCCUAGACAAAGUGCUACAAAGCAACCACUUAUCUGAAAGAACAUGCUCAUCAAAGGCAAAACCCAUUAGGAUUAGGUCAGGAAACAAGCAUAGAAAUCACAUAGUAUACAUCAUAGGUUUAUGUACAUUUCUACUGGCCUUUGAGGGUACUGAGGCCAUUUUAACAUCAUCCCGAUUUUCUCAUUACAUUAUCACACCUCGUUCUUUCUGCUUUUCACCUUCACUUCUUCCUUCUUUUGCAUCAAUUUCUUCUCUUCCUCUUUUCUUCUCUCAUUGCUAUUUCUUUCUUUUCUUCUCUCGCUAUCUCAUUUCUUUUUGUCAUUCUUUAUGGGUUUUGCUUUUCUUUAAAAGAGGAAAAUAAUGAAAAACAAAGAAACAAAAUGAUUAGAUCGAACCCAAAAGUAGGUUGCCUACGUAUCAUAUUAAUGAAUCAGAUCUUGCGUAGUUCGGGAGACAUAUGCACAAAUAUCACAUAAUUGAAGAUUUUUGAUUUUUGAUUUUUUUUUUUGGCGAAAAACAAACAAAAGAAAAAACCAACAUCACUACAUUUCAUAAAAGGGAUGACUCAAACAUACUUCAAAUUUAAGACAAACUUAAAACUAAUCAACGAAAACUAAACAACACUCUAGACAUAUAGGACAACAUGCGUAACAUUCCUUAUAAAGACCCUAGCGUUAAAACAAACUGGACAUCGACUUAACAAAGACACAAUACUACAAUGGCAGAAAAGUAAAGGACUCAAACUAAACAAAAGAUAAGAAAUGCUCUUUCAAACUGGUGCGUCGUGUGAUGACCCUGGAUGAGAUGGACCUUUCUGUGAAAUUCUACUCAAACUAUAUAGCAUAUCUUGCAAGGACAGUUUGAUAUUUUGGAAGAAACUUCUAGCACGUAUUCCUGCCUCAUGGGGAGUGCACCUGAAAAGACUGUUCUGACAUAUUUCCACAGUUGCGAGCAAACCUGAUAACUGAACUCUCAACUCCUCCACUUUGAUCCCCGCACCCUCAUCUUGACGAACAUCAACUAUGCAUUCUUCCUGUGUUCUUCCUCUAAGCUGUGCUGGUAAUGGUCUACUGAUACCCCGAGGCAUGGACUCUAGCCAGAUCUCAUAUCUCUGAGUGUACCCCGGAUUAUCCAAACCUUUUUUAAGAGUGUCUACACCUAGCAUUGUUGCAUGCUUCCAUAACUGCUCGUAUUUCCUCUCACCUAAGGCUUGGUCCUUGAAGUACUCAACAUUCUUUAGAAGAUCCACUACUGUUUGCACGUCCUGCGGCCUGCCCAACUGGCGCAUUAUCCUAGAAGGACUGUAUGGUCUAGUGCAAUUGAGUCCUAACAUAACUAUAAGGAGCUGCAUCUGACAACCAAACAAGAUUAUUUUUGGGCGAAGCCACAGAUAAGUCUACAAAAUGUUAUCCUCGGUUCUUGACUCAAGAAAUUCAAUCCAAGCAUCGACUCCCACGAGUUGCGAGAAUUUAUCAAAGCGCCACCUGAGGUCCAUGACUUUCACUCGAUUGGGAACACAACUAUCAACCAUGUCUGGUCUAACUAAAGAAGGCGCAUGCAAAUGCUCCAUCAUCCACAACUACAAUAUCAGGUUACUGCCCUCCAAAAAUCUCAUCCCCCGUUUACUUCGGUUAAAGCGUUAUAUAUUUCUGUUAAGAUCAUGGGUAUAAUAGUGAACUUUUCCUUUUGAUUAGUGACCUUGACCUUUUGAUUAACGAUCUUGCCUUUUUGAUAUGUGAUAUUGUCUUUUUUAUCCUUAUGAAAUAGAGCCAUUACCACAGAUUGCAAGCGUGUAUUAAUACGCCUUUCUUCUAGCGGAAACACUAAAGUGCCUAACAGAGCGAGGGUGAAGACUUCAAGAUGUUUUCUUUCCCAAUUAUGCUUAGUCAUAUAAAAUUCAUCCCAAAAGUAGUCAAAACCUUUCAAGGACCCAAACCUAGCGAAUAAAAAGUCAAAGGAAAUCCAUGAUUGAUUCAGAUAACCCAAAUGCUUGUUGUUACUCUUUAACCCACAACCUUGUAGAAAUUUAUUGCCCGAGUGAUUCUGAGCUCGGAUCAUACUCUUAUCGAUAUAAGGCAAAUAAAGCAUACCGAAUAUUUCUGCCAAGGUAGGAGUCAUUCAUAGUUUCCGAACCUGAACACCACACUACUAGGAUCCCAAAAGGUUAACAUAGCAUCUAUUAGAUCUGGCCGAGGUGUAAGAUAUAGAAGCUCCAUAGGAUCACCUAGUAUCUUAAUUACCUCUUGCUUAUUAGUACAGUUGGACGUGCCCCACCACUUGAUUAACUUUUUGGGUACUUUGGAAACCAUCAAGUCUCUAGAACCUAUGGGAUUCAUCCUGUAAGAACAAACCAUACUCAAAAUUCAAAACAAGAGAAAGAGCUCCCGACCCUCGGGAUUUUAGCUUAGAGAAAUAUCAUAUGACAUAGAGGGACAGAUCGACCUAUAACUUAAAUAUACCGAACAGUACCGCCGAAUGAAAUCAGCCUACUUGGCAAGGACCAGUUGACAACACUAGAUUACGAGGAGAAAGACCCUAGCCUAAGAUCGAGAUGAAGAUCAAGGUAAAAAGAUUACCGGACCUGCCGAGGGUUGCCUACGUAUCCCACCUCGAGGGACGAGAAUCAGGUAUGCGUAGUUCAUCCAGAUUAGACAAUUAAGGACUACAAUGAACUAAGACUUGACCUAAUAGGUGGGAUUACAGACGGACGAUGGAAAUAACAUCUUUUUGGGUUUUUUAAUAAACACUUUACAUAAAAAUAGUACCACUAUGAAAUUAAAAUCUUUUUGGUAUUUUCAUGAAAUGUACAAAACUCCUACAAUUUUUUUCCAAUUUUGUUUUAUAAAAACUCCUAUGAAUGAAAAAUCUUUUUGAAGUUUUCGAAUUGUGAAUGCAUGCUAAACGAGACAAAGGAACAUUUUUUUUGAUGUUUUUGUUUUUGAGAAAUGAGUGCUAAAGGUAAAAGUUUUUUUUUUCUUCUGAAUUUUUGGAUUGUGAAAAACAAAAGCCAUAAAGAACUCGAAAAACUACGAAACUCUUUCUUUUUUCUUUUUCUUUUCUUUUUUUCCAUUACCCAUACACUUUACUUCUAACACAUGUUUCCCCAAAUUAGUCCGUCAAAUGACCAUGUUACCCUCAAAGAUGCAACAUUUAGCACGUUGGGAUGUUUUAGAGGUGAGUAUCCUAUGAAGGACCAAGUAGGCCCCGCUAAGUCUCGACAUGAUGCACAUAAACAUGACCAGAAGGUAAUAUGACCUGAAGGCUAACCUACGCUGGGGUUCACUAACAAGGCUGUUCGGGGGAGCGUAUGAUUGAUAGUGGCUGCGGCAGCUUUCCAUCUACUCCAUAUAACCCAACGGCUCCCCCAUUCUAAAAUAAGGGUGACUCAACUAUAGGUCGUGUACACACGUGUACUACAGACUUGUUGCAGAAAGAAUGACUCGGGUUAUGCACAUGACGUCAUAUAUAAAAAAGUAACAUAUUAAAUAAAAACUGUAAACAAAGAGCACGUAGGCACUCACCAAUGAUAAACAAUAACACAAAAUAACACAAACAAAAUGUCUAUACACCUAUAAUGCCAAACUAAGACGAUACAACUCCAAAAUAAGCUUGAAUUCUAAAAAGUGCUCCCCAGCGUAGUCGCCAGAGCUGUCACACCCUUUAUAAACUCCAAAAAAGAUUCAUUUUAAGUUCGAAAGGGUUUUUAUUAUCAACGUGACAAAAGAUGAAAAAAAUUUCAAAAAGAAUUCACUUUACAAUUAACUCAGAGUCGCCACUUGGCUUAAUCCGGUGUGCCAAGUCACAUUUAAAAAGUCCUUUUUAAAAUGAUUUGACUUUUUAAAACUGAUUUGUGAACAGAGAUUCCAGCUAAGAAAUUCUGUUGAUCGAGGGGAAGGUGUUAGGCACCCCUCGGUCCCGUGGUUCAACCACGAUCGCUUAGUAGAGCGUAUCGGCUAAUUUGACAUUAUAAAUGUAUAAAACACACAAAACAAACAAAAAACAAUAAAACAAACAAAGAAAACAAAACGAACCAAAAAUACAGUGUCCAGUCCAAUUUAUACAGUCCAAAUAGAAAAAUGCAAAAAAUAAAUCCUAUCUAACCUAUACUAAUUCCAACUUCGCUCUCGUGCAUUACCCGAUGCCUCGGGCCUUCAUCACAAAUGUUCUCAGGGUACAUAAUACUUUGGGACAUUUCCCGAUGAAUGAACAUAAAUAGCUUGGGGUAUUCCCCGGCCAAAUGAUACAUUCAAUCCCGAAAUCAAUAAAACCAAACCGUUCAACACGUAUUUCAAGCAUUCAAUAAUUCAACGAGCAAAACUUAUUCCUAAAUCUUUGCCUACCAGAGCCUACUUUUGCCUAUUCAUUUGGCCUACCAUGAUACUAUCAUGUCAAUGAUAUUCAAUGAAUCAAAAUAAAUUAACGCUUAUUUUUUUAUCAAUUUCAAUUCCUACCCCCUCCUAAAAUAGUUUCCUUUUCAAUCAAUCAAUGAUUAACAGAUCUUUUAGUUUAACACCUCUUCAAAAUUCAGAACCAACAUCCAUACAUCAACCAACAAAAAUUCAAACAUAUGAAUCAUUCAUACCCAUCACAAUAGUUAAUACCACUAAAAAUCUCAAGAAAUCACGCCAAGGCCAUAUUCGAAAUAAUAAAGAGAUAGAGUUGAGAAAAUGGACCUUCAAAGAUUACGAUGAUAUCAAUGUUUAAGAAAACCAAACCCGAAAGAUAAAAUAGAAACUCUCAAUAGAGAUAAGAUCAUAACACGAAUCGAUAAACAGCAGUCCGAAAUUGACCACAAUAACCUGACUAAGACCCAAAAUAGAAAUCCCAACCCGAUCGAUGACAUGAUUUGAUCACAAAAAAACCUCUAAGACUGUCACUGACGAUGAACAACAAACGUAGACAAACCUAAAAAAAAACUCCCAACGACACGACAAAAAUCGAGAUCCAAGAGAUUUCGGCGAAGUAGUCGCUGGAACAGUGACCAAACCUGCAAAACCCUUUUCCGAAUAACUUCGAAUCUACCCUUUUUUCUUCCUUAUUAUAGAUCGACCCUCAAAUCCCUCUCUUGCGUGCGAGUCACUCAAUAUUUUCCCUCAAACUCUCCACUACCUGAUUGUCUAUUCCAGUCGUGUAUUCUGUGUGCGUGAGUGAGUGUGAAUCAGUGAGGUGUAGUAUAUGAGAGUGUGUGUGUGUGAGUUACUGUGUAAAAGAAAAGAAGGCCCAAAAAAUAAAGUCUGUCAGUGUUUUUUUAAUGGAGAAGAUCAUGUUCUUGGUAUGUUAUGUGUAGAUGAUGAUAAGAGCAAGAACUAGAAAAAUUGUGAGGCCUUCCUCCCCUUUUCUCUCAUGCACUGUGUGUGUAUACAUUUCAAAGGAAAGAAAAAUAUUUUUGGAGACUUGUGGGUCCAUCCCCCUAGGUAAUUUCCUGGAAAAUUCCCUGGGUCCUUUCUUUGUUGACAAGCAAAAUAAAAAAGGAGGGAGGGGUCACGUGAGGUGGGGGUAGGAGGGGUAGGGGUUAGGAUAUGUGACCGUGUGGCCACUGUGUUAUUUGAUUUUGGUUCUACUUUGUCAUAUGUAUCUAUCAAUUUUGUUGUGGAUUUGGACAAGGUGUGUGUCUACUUGACUUUUCUAUUCACGUGCCCACUCCUGUGAGUGAUUCUCUUGUUGUUGAUAGGAUUCAUCAUUCUAGUUCUGUUAUGUUAUGGGGUAUCAAACUUGGGCAGAUUUUGUGAUUCUAGACAUGAUAGAUUUUGAUAUAAUUUUGGGUAUGAGUUGAUUAUCUAUAUAUCAUGCUAUGCUGCAUAGUCAUGCUAAGAUAGUGACUGUAGCUAUGCCGAAAAUGGAUAGACUUAAGUGGGAGGGUGAUUAUAGUCCUACUCCAAUGAAACUUAUUUCUUUCUGCGUGCAAAGAGGUUAAUUGGAAGAGGUUGUUUGACCUUCCUAGCAUAUCUUCGGGACACUUCCAUAGAGGUCCCAUCUAUUGAGUUAGUUUCUAUGGUGUGUGAGUUCCAAGAGGUUUUUCCUGAAGAUCUGCCUGGUAUGCCUCCAGGCUUUGACAUUGAUUUUUGUAUUGAUCUAGACCCAGAUACUCGUCCUAUUUCUAUUCCUUCCUAUAGGAUGUCUCCAGCUGAGUUAAGGGAGCUAAAGGCUUAGCUGCAGGAUUUAUUGAGUAAGGGUUUUAUUUGUUCGAUUGCCUCUCCAUGGGGUGGUCCUGUCUUGUUUGUGAAGAAGAACGAUGGUAGUCUUCUUAUGUGUAUAGACUAUAGGUAGAUGCACAAGUUAUAUUCCAUAAUAGGUAUCCUUUACCCUAUAUCAGUGAUUAUUUAACAAGUUAUAGGGUGCAUCUGUAUUUUCUAAGAUUGAUUUGAGCUCCGGGUAUCAUUAGCUUAAGAUCGAGUCUGCCGAUAUUUCUAAGCCUGUUUUCAAACCCGGUAUGGGCACUUUGAGUUUUUUGUGAUGUCUUUUGGGUUGACUAAUGCCCCAACUACCUUUAUGAGUUUGAUGAAGGGGAUAUUUAAACCUUACUUGAAUUUUUUCAUGAUUGUAUUUAUUGAUGAUAUUAUGGUUUAUUAUAGAGUAAAAAGGAACUUGAGAAUCACUUAAGGAUUGUUUGGGUUGUUAGAAGAGAAAAAGCUUGAUGCGAAGUUUUCUAAGUGCAGGUUCUAGUAGGUUUCUUUCUACUGUUCUUCAUAGAUAAUGUGUGAUAUAUAUUGUGUAUGGAUAUGGAUGUUAGGCUUGAUUAUGAGUAGGAUGACUUGGCCUCGAUUGUUAAUAUUUGGAGUUUAUACGCUGGCUUGGGACCCGUAAAAUGUCAUGUUUAUACCCUUUCUAAAUUCUAUUGCUUUUCCUCUCUAGUUUAAAUUAGUUGUAGCUUAGUUAUGAUGUAAACCUAUGUUUGGGAUGUGGUUUUAGUAUUUGAAGCAUGAUUUGUAUAUUUAGCCUUAUAGGGCUAGUUUGAUAGUCUUGAAAUCAUAAGUUGCAUAGAGUUGACUUGAGUACCCUUGUUUCUAGUCAAAGUUGCUAGCUUGAAUAUGGCUUACUUGACAUCUAGAAGAUAAAAUUGAUACCUUAGCCUAGUUUGGGGCAUAGUUUUCCUAAUUAUGGAAAGUGAGGUUUAGAAGUGGGAUCGUCUGGCCCAUUUAGGCCUAAACUUAUGUUAAGUAUUAUGGACUUAAUUGCGGAUGUUAGACAUAGAUGAGGGUAGUAAACCUUAGAACAAGGUUACUUGAUAACUUGGUAACUUUUAUUGAUGUUCCCAGAUUGUGGCUUUUGAGUUAUAGUUAUGAUACUUCCUAUGGAUGUGAUAUUGGGCAUUUAGAGAUGCUAUUUCCUCUUAGACUUGAUGAUUGACCCAUAGAGUUGCUAUUUUCUUUAGUCAUGAUUAUUGGACCACUAGAGACAAUGUUCCUCUUAGAUAUGCAAAUUGGCCGAGAGAGGUGAUAUUCCUCAUAGUCAUGAUGUAUGUGACCUAUCGAUAUAAGAUAUCCUAUAGACGAUUACAUGUGUCAUCUAUAUUAUACCUCCAAUAUGUGAGAUACUUUCUAUAUGUGAGACUAUUAGAGAUAUGCUAUGGCUUAUAAAUAUGAUUAUCGAUAUGAGUUUUGGAUAUGUAUAUGGGCCUAAGGCCGUGAUUAUAAUGUUGUGACUAUCCGAAUAAAUUAAUGGGACAAGAACUGGGUUAUGAUAAUGAUUGAAUAUCCGAGGAAUGUUUACCAAUGUAAAUGAUAGGACUACAGUUUAUGAAUACAUAUAUUUUUGUAUACACAUAUCUUUGGUAUGGGAUGGUGGAAUAUACAGUAUGUUAAUUACGACUUUAUUGAUUGUAUACUGGUUAUGGCAUGCAUAGAUUUGGUACAUUCAUGAUUAUUAUUUCGGUAAUUGAUGUGAUUGUAACUGAAAUAUGAUCUUACAAUUGUUCUGCCUAAUUAACGGCUAAGCUAUGUGGGAACUAGUUGUCUAUUAGGGGACUAUUGCUCUUGAUGGCUAGGAAUCUAAUGUAUUAGUUAAUGAAUCUUGCUUAAUUGAAACAUGGUAGCUAGAGAUGGUUAAUGCGUGACUUAUAGUGGGUCGGGUCUAGCAGAGGUGAAAAUUAGUUGGUAUUGAUAACUAAGUUUGUGAUAUUGAUUAGUCGAUAAACAAGGUGUUGUGUGUUAAUGAGGCAAGAUGAUAAGAGAUGUUGGUAAUAAGAGGUGACUAGUUAAUAACUUUGAAUAGUUACUAAAUGGUUAACUAAUUAAUAGUUAAGCAAGGAUUGUUGGUAAACGAUAAUUAGAUAAUGAAUAGUGUCAGUUAAUAAAAGAUAGUUAGGUGACAAGUAGUAAUGCAUUGUCUUGUAAUGAUUACUGGAUAUAGGAUGAUUAGUAGAUAAUAAUGAAUGAUGGAUAAAUGAAGAUUUUGGUCUAGUGAUGAACCUUGACUAGAUGUUAGAUGCUGGCUAUUAAAUAAGUAGUGGUUAGUUGCUAUCCCAUGAACAAGGAUAACGUGGAGGAUAAUGUUUAGUCUAAUAACUAGAGGUUAUGUGAUGACUAGAUAAUGUUUAUAGGCGCGUCUUUUGGUUAUGCAAUGACUAGCGAACUAGUGAUUCUAUUAUAAUGAGUAUUGGUUAGCUAAUAACGAGUAGUUGAGAAGUAUUGACUAGAUAGAUAUUCUAUGAUGAUAUGACUAUUUUUAUGAGUAUUUUAGUGUAUAUUAUUUGGUAAUGACUAUUAUGAUGAUAUGUUGAUUACCGAAAAGGCUGGAGGACACUAUUAUGAUAAUAUGUUGAUACCUGUCAAGGCCAGAGAAUACUAUUGUGACGAUAUUGAUAUCCGACAAGACCGGAGGACACUGUUGUGAUGAUGUUGAUACCUAGAAAGGCUGAAGAAUACUAUUGAUGAUGUGUUGAUAUUCGGCAAAGUCGGAGGUUGAUUACGAUGAUGAUGGUCCUGAUGAAGAUAGUUAUGAUGAGUUGUGAUACUGGUUGUGUACUUUGCCUUUAUUCCUACAUGUGCAUCGCAUAUCACUAGUAUGCACCUAUAUUUAUCAGCCGGUAUAGGAUGGUUGCAUAUAUAUGAGUGAAGAAUAUUUCUUGUGUUUUUGUAUACUAAUUAAACCUUUUGAGUCUGGGGCGGUGGGGGUACGCAUAGGCUCGGCUAAAUAUUUGGUUGUCCGUAAGUUGAGUGCUAAGGAGAUUGCAUCUGUGAAGGUCCAGAAGAAGAAUCUUCCUAUUGAGGAGGUCACUUUUUGCUGAUUCAAGUAAUUCCUUAGUACUUUCCUUGUCGCUUGUUUGUCAUUAGGGGACAAACGAUUGUUUAAUUAGUAUCUGAUGUAACGACCCUCCCGGUCGUUUGUGAAAUACUUACAUCUUUCUUAUUAGCUCUUCUUUUAGUUUCUAUACGUAAUUUAUGACUUACAGAGAUAGAUAGUACCGAUUCUUGAUGUGUUCCAGGUGAUUAAGUCCUUUGUUGAGUAUUUUAGAUAAUUAAUUUAAUUAGUGAUUUAAUGAGUUCAAAACUCAUAAUUUAACUACUUAUGGG